rnacentral:rRNA from 1 species
AAGUAAGCUAUGAUCCAGAGAUUUCCGAAUGGGGGAACCCAAUAUCUUUUAUAGGAUAUUACUUUUCAGUGAAUACAUAGCUGAUUAGAGGUAGACGCAGAGAACUGAAACAUCUUAGUACCUGCAGGAAGAGAAAGAAAAUUCGAUUCCCUGAGUAGCGGCGAGCGAAACGGGAAGAGCCCAAACCAACAAGCUUGCUUGUUGGGGUUGUAGGACUCCAAUAUGGUAGUCUGUUAGUAUAGUUGAAGGAUUUGGAAAAUUCCGCUAAAGAGGGUGAAAGCCCCGUAGACGAAAUGCUAACAACACCUAGGAGGAUCCUGAGUACGGCGGAACACGAGAAAUUCCGUCGGAAUCCGCGGGGACCAUCCCGCAAGGCUAAAUACUCCCUAGUGACCGAUAGUGAACCAGUACCGUGAGGGAAAGGUGAAAAGCACCCCGGAAGGGGAGUGAAAUAGAUCCUGAAACCGUGUGCCUACAACAAGUCAAAGCUCGUUAAUGAGUGAUGGCGUGCCUUUUGUAGAAUGAACCGGCGAGUUACGAUUGCAUGCGAGGUUAAGUCGAAGAGACGGAGCCGCAGCGAAAGCGAGUCUGAAUAGGGCGAAUGAGUAUGUAGUCGUAGACCCGAAACCAUGUGAUCUACCCAUGUCCAGGUUGAAGGUGCGGUAAAACGCACUGGAGGACCGAACCCACGUACGUUGAAAAGUGCGGGGAUGAGGUGUGGGUAGCGGAGAAAUUCCAAACGAACUUGGAGAUAGCUGGUUCUCUCCGAAAUAGCUUUAGGGCUAGCCUCGGAAUUGAGAAUGAUGGAGGUAGAGCACUGUUUGGACUAGGGGCCCAUCUCGGGUUACCGAAUUCAGAUAAACUCCGAAUGCCAUUCAUUUAUAUCCGGGAGUCAGACUGCGAGUGAUAAGAUCCGUAGUCGAAAGGGAAACAGCCCAGACCACCAGCUAAGGUCCCAAAAUAUAUGUU